rnacentral:rRNA from 1 species
GACGAACGCUGGCGGCGUGCCUAAUACAUGCAAGUCGAGCGAAGUUUUUCUGGUGCUUGCACUAGAAAAACUUAGCGGCGAACGGGUGAGUAACACGUAAAGAACCUGCCUCAUAGACUGGGACAACUAUUGGAAACGAUAGCUAAUACCGGAUAACAGUAUUUCUCGCAUGAGAGAUAUUUAAAAGUUGGUUAUGCUAACACUAUGAGAUGGCUUUGCGGUGCAUUAGCUAGUUGGUGGGGUAAAGGCCCACCAAGGCGACGAUGCAUAGCCGACCUGAGAGGGUGAUCGGCCACACUGGGACUGAGACACGGCCCAGACUCCUACGGGAGGCAGCAGUAGGGAAUCUUCCGCAAUGGGCGAAAGCCUGACGGAGCAACGCCGCGUGAGUGAAGAAGGAUUUCGGUUCGUAGAGCUCUGUUGUUAGGGAAGAAUGGAUAUGUAGUAACUAUACAUGUAAGAGACGGUACCUAACCAGAAAGCCACGGCUAACUACGUG